rnacentral:rRNA from 1 species
AAUCAACGCUGGCGGCGUGCCUCAGACACGCAAGUCGAACGCUGCUGUUCGCCUUCGGGUGGACAGCGGAGUGGCGCACGGGUGAGUAACACGUAGGUAAUCUACCUUUGGGUGGGGAAUAACAGCCGGAAACGGCUGCUAAUACCGCAUAAUGCAGCGGCAUCACAUGAUGACAGUUGUUAAAGCGGGGGAUCGUAAGACCUCGCGCCUGAAGAGGAGCCUGCGGCAGAUUAGGUAGUUGGUGAGGUAAUGGCUCACCAAGCCUGCGAUCUGUAACCGGCCUGAGAGGGCGGUCGGUCACACUGACACUGACAUACGGGUCAGACUCCUACGGGAGGCAGCAGUCGGG